GCGCCGACAAGUGGGCCAGUCCCCACAAUUCUCUCUCCCGACAAGAAUUCCUCCACCCUCUCCCUCUCUCGUCGGCUAGGGUUCCAUCCUCCGCCGCCGCUCCCUUGCCUCUCCGCGCCGCGCCAUCGUUGACCUCAAAAUCGGGAUCCCCGCGCCACGCCAUGGAAGCCCCAUCACCUGAAGACCGAGCUCCGCAUCUUCGUGCCCGACUCCGCAUCUUCUCCGCCGCCGCUCUGCGCCCUCUCUCCCAUGCUCGUCGCGAGCCGCCGCUGCUUUUCCCUCCCUCUAUCCCUGCCCGCCACCUCUCCCCUCUCACUCCAUGCCCCUGCAGAUCAUUGUCUUGUCUCGUCGCCCUUCUUCAUCGUCGACAGCGUCGCCACAAAGGAGGAGGGGGUCAGGAUGAGGAAAAGAGGGGUAGCCGCCGAGAGGGACACGUUGUUCAGUUCGUCCCACAACUGCAGGCGAAGCAGGGGCAGUGCUCUCCGCCCGCCGUUGUGACGGACCUCGGGUGAGCCUCGAGUUCGACUUCCGGCGACACCCGCCCCAAAGUAUCUUCCCCGGUAAGAUCUGUAGGUACCUACCGCCAUACAUUCUUAUCCGCAACGCCGUAUCCCUCUGCCAUUUGGGGGGGGGGGGGGAUUGAUUGCCUCCGAGGGCAACAGAAGGAGGUCUUCACAUAUCACCAGCCUCUUCUUCAUUGAUCGAUGCUAGGGGUGGGUGUAGCAGAAUAUUUGUUGCAACCAAAAUCCAGAAGGAGGAUGGACAAGCUCGUUACACAAGUGCCAACAGUAGAUGUGCCUGCACUAUAGAAAAUAGGGCAACUGCUCUAAUCUUCCUAGGUAUGUGCAUCUCUACUUUCUUAUCCAAAUCUGACUGCUUAAGAAUUCCUCAAUAAUACAGAGUUCUGCCCGAUGCUCACUUUUUUCUCUACACUUUACAAAAAUUUAUGUAGCAUAUACCAAGGUAAAGGUUUUGUUUUCACUAUAGAAAUGCUAUUGUUCGCUGCUUCAGAUACAACAAAUUCUAGAAUAAUUAUUCGUACAUAUAUCACAGUCUGGAAUGAUUUUGUUUAGUGGUAUAAUGUGGCGUUCUAAUUUAUCAUGUGUCAUUGAACUUAGUUGCACCAUUUCCAUUUCGGUGCGGCUUAUACAACAUGUGUACUAAGAGAUGGCACCUUUUUGUCCUCAUUUUGUCUUUGCGUUUGCUAAACCAGCUAUGAUUUGGUUUCUUACGUCAGAUGAACAUGUUCGCUUUUCAUUUACAAGUCAUUCGAACUAUCAAGGUCUAAUCUGAACUGGUUUAAUAGUAUUGCUGCUGGAGUGGUUUUGUUUCUUUGGAUUUCAGCAUCUACUGACAUUGCUUGAUUAGGGUCAGUGUUACAAGUGCAUUUGGUGGCUGGGGAAAGGAGCAGAAAUCUUGUUAGCGUGAAAAAUGGCCACCUCAGAUUCAGAGAUGUCUGUCAAGGGUAUACAGAAAUUAGCUCUCUCUCUCGUCAUCGGCUCGUUGGAGGAGAAUGGGAUGGGGAACCACGCUGGGAUGCAGAGAAGCGGGAGCUGGCGGAGGCGCUUGUUGAACAGGAGGGUGGCCACGAACACCCAUGGUAGCCUGCUUUGCGCAGUCGGAAGGAGUUGCCAACGAGGACCAACGUGCCUCUCAAGUGUGAAAGAGCGCCAACACCAUCUGCCUACUCUAUGCUACUGAUGCCCUUCCGAGCAACUGGAGCAUUAAACAUGUAUUUCCAUGGUUUUCCUGAUCGCUUAUAAUUGGUGACAACGCAGUAUGGCUCCAGUUCAAAGUGUAUCAUCCUGGAUAUGUUUAGAUUAUUGUCAGAUGUAGUAGAAAAUUUAAAUGAUGGAUAAAUAAGAGGUUCAGUUUCUUCUU